rnacentral:rRNA from 1 species
GACGAACGCUGGCGGCGUGCUUAACACAUGCAAGUCGAACGGAAAGGCCCUGCUUUUGUGGGGUGCUCGAGUGGCGAACGGGUGAGUAACACGUGAGUAACCUGCCCUUGACUUUGGGAUAACUUCAGGAAACUGGGGCUAAUACCGGAUAGGAGCUCCUGCUGCAUGGUGGGGGUUGGAAAGUUUCGGCGGUUGGGGAUGGACUCGCGGCUUAUCAGCUUGUUGGUGGGGUAGUGGCUUACCAAGGCUUUGACGGGUAGCCGGCCUGAGAGGGUGACCGGCCACGUUGGGACUGAGAUACGGCCCAGACGCCUACGGGAGGCAGCGGUGGAGAAUAUUGCACAAUGGGCGGAAGCCUGAUGCAGCAACGCCGCGUGCGGGAUGACGGCAUUCGGGUUGUAAGCCGCUUUCGCCUGUGACGAAGCGUGAGUGACGGUAAUGAGUAAAGAAGCACCGGCUAACUACG